GAUGAACGCUGGCGGCGUGCCUAAUACAUGCAAGUCGAGCGAACGGACGAGAAGCUUGCUUCUCUGAUGUUAGCGGCGGACGGGUGAGUAACACGUGGAUAACCUACCUAUAAGACUGGGAUAACUUCGGGAAACCGGAGCUAAUACCGGAUAAUAUUUUGAACCGCAUGGUUCAAAAGUGAAAGACGGUCUUGCUGUCACUUAUAGAUGGAUCCGCGCUGCAUUAGCUAGUUGGUAAGGUAACGGCUUACCAAGGCAACGAUGCAUAGCAGACCUGAGAGGGUGAUCGGCCACACUGGAACUGAGACACGGUCCAGACUCCUACGGGAGGCCACAGUAGGGAAUCUUCCGCAAUGGGCGAAAGCCUGACGGAGCAACGCCGCGUGAGUGAUGAAGGUCUUCGAAUCGUAAAACUCUGUUAUUAGGGAAGAACAUAUGUGUAAGUAACUGUGCACAUCUUGACGGUACCUAAUCAGAAAGCCACGGCUAACUACGUG
rnacentral:rRNA from 1 species